UACGUAGGGGGGCAAGCGUUGUCCGGAUUUAUUGGGCGUAAAGAGCGUGUAGGCGGCCAGUUAGGUCCGUUGUGAAAACUCGAGGCUCAACCUCGAGACGCCGAUGGAAACCAACUGGCUAGAGUCCGGAAGAGGAGAGUGGAAUUCCCGGUGUAGCGGUGAAAGUGCGCAGAUAUCGGGAAGAACACCCGGUGGCUAAGGCGGGCUCUCUCGGAAGCGCAACUGACGCGAUGAGACGCGAAAGCGUGGG
rnacentral:rRNA from 1 species